GUCUACAGCCACCCCAGCAUGAAUGCACGUGGUCUUGCUGAUCUCGGAAGCUAAGCAGGAGGCCUGGUUAGCACUUGGAUGGGAGACUAAGCAAAAAGCCAAGGAUUGAUAAACC
ensembl:rRNA 5S_rRNA 5S ribosomal RNA